CUUCCGGCCGAGAACCGCCCCACUUCUCCACACCGUUCGAAGCUCGGUCGAGAACCCUUGUCUUCUGCCUUCUCCUGCGCCUCGUCCUUCUUCUCUGCCUCUUAUUCCGCCUGCGCCGAUGACCACGCUGAUUCUGACAAUCCGCCACCGAGGACGAUCAGGAUUUCUUCAUCUCCGCCUUCGUCGCUUUUUUUUUUGUUCUCUCUUUUUUCCUCUCCAGCUAUUUAAUUAUUAAAUUUUUUAAUUUAAUCACCUUUUCAGAGUCCUAUAAAUAUUGAGCCACAGGCGCUCCACCUCGACUUAUACCAUUUUCAUUUCCCUCCUCUGAAAUCGAUUGGGGGAAAAAGAACUCGUCGCCAUUUCCGAACAAAAUCAAGCGCGUCUCGAGGAUAAUAUAUAUAUUUUUUCAAAUGUGUUCCUGAGGCAUCAAAGCUAGAGAUGUGAUUGCCAAGAUUGAAAGUCGUCAUCACUUGGGUUGGUUGCAUCACAAGGCUGGUACCCCAGAAGGGUGUGCAUCUAAUUAGGCAUGCAAUAUAUCGAACAUUGGAGCUGGGAGGACAAUUUUUACU